rnacentral:lncRNA from 1 species
ACUAGUACGAAGAAUUCUGAUUUGUUUAAGGGACAUGUCUCCUAAAUAAUGACCUUUGGGUUGUUAUGUAAAAUAGGAAAAGAAAAUAGAAUCUAUUGUUUCUCGGUUUAUUGUGCUCAAAGAUUAUGGUCGGACAUUGUAUCCUGGAGGUAAGGUUCUCAACUAUGCAUUUGUAAAUUUUAGAUUACAAUCCUAACAGAGAAGAUACUAUCUUUAAGAUAGGUUUUUUUUUUUGGGUAAAGAUAAGUUCAUUAAUAUAUAACUCUUAGUACAACCCAAAAUAAUCUUCGCUACUGCUAACAUAUAACAAAGGCAACAGGAAGUCAAAGCCACAAAAAUAGGGAAAAGAUACAAUAACUGAAGAAAUAGGUAUAAAUACAUUACAUAGAAGAAUGCACC